AGUGAACGCUGGCGGUAGGCCUAACACAUGCAAGUCGAACGGCAGCACAGUAAGAGCUUGCUCUUACGGGUGGCGAGUGGCGGACGGGUGAGGAAUACAUCGGAAUCUACUUUUUCGUGGGGGAUAACGUAGGGAAACUUACGCUAAUACCGCAUACGACCUACGGGUGAAAGCAGGGGAUCUUCGGACCUUGCGCGAUUGAAUGAGCCGAUGUCGGAUUAGCUAGUUGGCGGGGUAAAGGCCCACCAAGGCGACGAUCCGUAGCUGGUCUGAGAGGAUGAUCAGGCAAAACUGAACUGAGACACGGUCCAGACUCCUACGGGAGGCAGCAGUGGGGAAUAUUGGACAAUGGGCGCAAGCCUGAUCCAGCCAUACCGCGUGGGUGAAGAAGGCCUUCGGGUUGUAAAGCCCUUUUGUUGGGAAAGAAAAGCAGCAGGUUAAUACCCCGCUGUUCUGACGGUACCCAAAGAAUAAGCACCGGCUAACUUCGUG
rnacentral:rRNA from 1 species